rnacentral:rRNA from 1 species
GUAGGGAAUAUUGGGCAAUGGACGAAAGUCUGACCCAGCCACGCCGCGUGAAGGAUGAAGGCCCUAUGGGUUGUAAACUUCUUUUGUAUGGGAAGAACCCCUCCUACGUGUAGGAGGCUGACGGUACCAUAAGAAUAAGCAUCGGCUAACUCCGUGCCAGCAGCCGCGGUAAUACGGAGGAUGCAAGCGUUGUCCGGAUUCAUUGGGUUUAAAGGGUGCGUAGGCGGAGAAUUAAGUCAGUGGUGAAAGCUUACAGCUUAACUGUAAAAAUGCCAUUGAAACUGAUUUUCUUGAGUUCGAUUGAGGUAGAUGGAAUGUAUCAUGUAGCGGUGAAAUGCUUAGAUAUGAUACAGAACACCAAUUGCGAAGGCAGUCUACUAAGUCGAUACUGACGCUGAGGCACGAAAGCAUGGGGAGCAAACAGGAUUAGAAACCCUUGUAGUCC